rnacentral:rRNA from 1 species
GACGAACGCUGGCGGCGUGCUUAACACAUGCAAGUCGAACGGAAAGGCCCUGCUUUUGUUUGGUGCUCGAGUGGCGAACGGGUGAGUAACACGUGAGUAAACUGCCCUUGACUGUGUGAUAACUUCAGGAAAAUGGGGCUAAUACCGGAUAGGAGCUCCUGCUGCAUGUUGGGGGUUGGAAAGUUUCGGCGGUUGGGGAUGGACUCGCGGCUUAGCAGCUGGUUGGUGGGGUAGUGGCUUACCAAGGCUUUGACGGAUAGCCGGCCUGAGAGGGUGACCCGGCACAUUGGGACUGAGGUACGGCCCAGAAUCCUACGGGAGGCAGCAGUGGGGAAUAUUGCACAAUGGGCGGAAGCCUGAUGCAGCAACGCCGCGUGCGGGAUGACGGCCUUCGGGUUGUAAACCGAUUUCGCCUGUGACGAAGCGUGAGUGACGGUAACGGGUAAAGAAGCAACGGCUAACUACGUG